GUUGAAACACCAGUUUCCAUAUGAUCACCAAAGUUAAGCAAUGUUGAGCCUGAUCAGUACUUAGAUGGUUGACCACUUGGGAAUACCAGGUACU